UACGGAGGAUCCAAGCGUUAUCCGGAAUUACUGGGCGUAAAGAGUUGCGUAGGUGGCAUAGUAAGUAGGUAGUGAAAGCGUUCGGCUCAACCGAAUAAACAUUAUCUAAACUGCUAAGCUAGAGGACGAGAGAGGUUAUUGGAAUUUCUAGUGUAGGAGUGAAAUCCGUAGAUAUUAGAAGGAACACCGAUGGCGUAGGCAGAUAACUGGCUCGUUUCUGACACUAAGGCACGAAAGCGUGGGUAGCAAACGGG
rnacentral:rRNA from 1 species